GUAAUUUUUAUUCAGUUUACAAUUAGAAUAUUUCAUGCAAUUUAGAGAGAAAGAAAGAAAUUUUUAACUGGGGAAAACAGUUAGAUUUAUAUCCUACUUAGCAUAAUGGAACAUUCGCCACUACCCUAUCAUCUAGAAUUCAGUAAUAACCCCCCCAAAAAAGGCUCGGUCGUAAUCGAUCGUAAACUUUCCAAGUAAUAUCUUUCAAUAUAACUUUACUAAAAUUUAGGAUUGAAUUUUUUAACAUUUUAAUGCAUGUAAAUAACUAUAUUAAAAAAAAUCGUCUCUACUAUUCUGCAGAAAAAUGAGCUUUUUGGACAAGAAAUUGACAAUACAAUUUCUGCUGAGGAAUCUGGAAUUUAAUCCGCGCUGAUCUCUACUGCUUAUAUUCUUCUAUAAUGUAGGUCAUAGUUGUGUAUAAUCGGCAAUAAGUUAGGCCUGAAUUCCAUUAUGCUACAUCUAAUUACUUCAGUGAAUAAGAAAUAGGAAAUAGGAAUAGGAAUAGGAAAAAAAAAAUCUGUCACGCUCUACACGUUGCAGUUUGUUCGUUCUAAAUUUCCAUAGAAGUAGAAUGUUCAUAUUUUUUCCCCUCUAUUUUAAAACAAAAUGGAGCAUUUUUAAAGAAUACGCGCCUUUAAUUCGCUUGCAAAAAAUCAACAAAAAUAAACUUGGAUGUUGAAACCAUUAGGAAACUUUUACUGUGAACGUAGCGGGCGUUUUAGUACCAAUAAUUUAAAAAUUUUCUUAUUGCAUCUCAUAAAUUAAUGAUGCUCCAUUGCGUGCGUUGAGGCGAAAUUAUCAAUAUUUCAUAAAGCAUCCAUUAUAAAAAUGAUCAUUAAAGAUUACUUUAUUUCUAUAAAUAUUACUGAAACUAUUUUUGGUAUUUCUUUCCUAUUUUAUAAGAGGAUAUUAAUCAUUUAAAGAAUAAAUUUAGCGCUAAGAAUCGCAGCGCGGCGUCGCGUCGAGCGACGCGAACGUUGCAAAAUAAUAAGAAUUGUAUGAAUACUGAAGUUUGUCACAUUUUUACCCCUGAAAUUUCUUUAAGAAAAUUAACUUUACGAAGCUUAAAUCUUAUGAAUUUAUUUAAAAUAUCGCGAAAAUUGAUUGUUGCUGGACUUUCCUGGCAUUCCAUAUAUAUUUUCGUCUCUAAGAAACGUGUAAAAAAAUUCGUUGAAUUUCCCGGGUUUUCUUUACGUCUAUAACUAAUACCUAAAUAGGGGCCAGUUUCUCAUAAAAUAACCCCGGGAGGUAGAGUCGCCCACGUAUCGAGUAGGCAUAUACGAAUAAACAAAUAUGGCCUCAUCCCUUUAAUAUCUCCCGAACCAAUGGCCCGAUUUUCGUGAAAAUUUGUAAGAACAUUUUCCCCUAAAAUAGAAACCUCCCUAAAAAAUUUCAGAAAAUUUCGACAAGAAGAACAGGAGUAAUGAAGCUUCAAAUUGGGAAAACUAAAUCGUGCCCCGCACGUACAUACAGAAAAAUAUCCCAACUUUUUUGCAUUUCUAGACGUUUCAAUACUUCUUUUCUGUUAUAUAACACCGGAAAAGUAAAAUACAAGCAAUUGUCCUAUGAUUUAAUAAGCUAGAUCUAUAACGGUGCAUUUAAAUUUGCUGCACACUUAAAUCCAUACAAAUUAUCUCGAAAAUUGUAACUGAAAUAGAGCCAUUUAGUGUAUAAAAAAAGAAGUGACUACGAGAAUGUUUAAUAAGCAUAAUAAAUUUGCAAGAAAGAAGAAUAAAAGAGGAAAAAGAAAGAAAAAAAAAAAGCCAGAAUUAUUUUCUCAAUGAUCUCCAUUAUCCAAUCGAUAGCUAUUUUUAUAUCCCUUAGCACACUAAAUCUAGCAUUUUCUUCACGCUCCACGAAUUUCUUCACGCUCACGUAUAUAGAUAAGGGUGUAACCAAAGUAUUUUCAGAAAGUAUAAUUUUCUUUAGAAAUUUUUAUCAUGAUGAUGAUAAUAAAAGGGAGGAGGGAGAGAAGAAAAAAAAUCUUUAAAUAGUUUCCAUUUCAUUGAUCAUUUUUGUUUGGGCGUUGUCUUCGCUUUUAUCUCAUUAACCGAAGAAUUAAAUAUCUAAAAAUUGUACAGAAAAAAAAAACUGUAUUUAUUAUAUUCGGAGAUACAAAUAUAGAUAAUUCUUUCCAACUAAAUUAGAGAGAAUCAAUCGUGUAAUGAAUUAAUAAUGAUAAUGAUCAUCUACCUCUUCAAUUAUUCAUGCAAACUACUUGAGUGGGUAUUUUUAGAAAGGUAGUAAAAAAACUUUGUUAUUUUUUAUUAUUAUUAUUAUUAUAUUUCCCCCUUAUUUUAACUGUUUCGUAUGGUAAAAUAUGGUUGGCUGAUCACUGACAAGUGAUAAAAAUAAAAGAAGUUAUAUCAACUUCUUUAUUGAGUCGUAGAUGAUGCUUUUAAGUAUGCUCUUAUGUUUAAAUUUAUUUGUAAAUUAUGUAUAAUAGUUUAAUGUCGUACUAUACACACGUGUCCAUAAUUUAAUACAUGAAUAUAGAGAACUGUAGGCGAAUAAUCGAUGUCUAACGCAACAACUUGUAGGAUUUGACAAAUCAAAGCCAUAAAAGUCUUUAGUGAGAAAGAUACAUA